AAAAAAAGCCCAUGUUACCCCGGGGAGAAAGGCUCAAAGUGAGCCCCACCGCGGAUGCUUGCCUUGGAGUCCCCGAUGAGGGCGAUGCCGAUGGAGAGCUUUCUCUUCAUGCCUCCGGAGAGCGCCUUGGUCAGCGAGUGGCGUUUGUCCUCCAGGUUCAGGAUCCGCAGGACGUGGUUGAUCUCCUCGGGGCACUUGGAGGCUGGGAACCCCUUCAGCUGCUCAGACAAAGGAGAAAGAGGGCUAGGUACACCUGCAGGGGGCAAGCAUCCCUGACAAAAUCCCUUCCCACCUCACCAGCAACCGGCUGCUAAGCCCCAUCACGGCCCCUGCUCCACACCCAGGGGCUUGCCUGCCUACUGACAGCCCCACGAGCAGCAUGGGGUGCUGCACCACGAGGUUGCCCCAGGCUGCCCCAGCCCCAGGCUCACCCCAGCGUAGAAGUGGAGGUGCUCCUCCACCGUCAUGUUGUCGAAGAGCACGUCGUGCUGGGGACACAGCCCCAGGCUGCGGCGGAUCAGCACCAUGUCCUGCGAGAUCUCGUAGCCGUUGAUGGCGAGGAAGGUGAACACCAGCGUGGGGUCGCUGUUGGUAAGCACUGCUCCUUGUUCGCUCACCUGCCAAAAAAACGGGGUCAGGCGUGGGGCUGGCACUGCGAGCCUGGUGUCCUCCGUGGGGUAAAGGCAAAAAAAGGCAGGUGGAGACACCCAGACCCUCCCAGAGCAGUCCAGAGGAAGGAAACGGGGCUGUCCUCAUGUGAUGCAGGGUCUACGAGGCAGGGGAUGCCUUCAGGAGAAGGCCAACUCCAGCCUCUGUGACACACGGGGACGAGUCCCAGGUCACCGGGACAGCCCAGCCCGCGGCAGAGGAGCCCCAUCACCCUCGUGCCCCGGCACCGCAGAGCUUCUGGCCCGAGGGCAGCCACUCACCUUGACACAGAAGAGCACGGUGACAAAGAACACGGACACCAGGAGGAAGAGGAAGAACAUGAGGAACCAGGCGCUCCAGUGCAACCAGUUGCUGAGCCCCAUCAUGUGCAUGUACUCCUGCAGGGAGGUCACGCCGUCACCCGGGGCUGCUGCCACGCUUCCCGGGCAGGGGAACGUGGCCACGGCAAGGGGAGGUGGAGAGGUGGCGACCGCUCUGCCCCCCAGCACUGUCGAGGGAGGUGGCAGCCCCGGGUGCCCCACAGGAGCUGUUGGCCGAGCUCCCCCCUGCCCACGCACCACAGCAGGGAAACACGGGGUUCCAAAUUGGAAAGACAAAAGUCCCGUUUCCCACACGCUGAUCUCCUGCACCCACGAGAGCUGCCUCUCUGUGGGCUGCCCCCUCCGAGCACCCUCACACCACGGGAAGCAGAGCGCAGAGCCACGUCCCAGCAGCAGGAUUAGCGACAUUCCUCGCAGUGCCUUGCUAAUCCCGCUGCCAUUGAGCCUCCUGACUCCUGUGUGCUGGCUCCGAAGCCAGCAGGGGAUUUAACCUGGAGGGCUGUGUCCAGUUCUGGGCUCCCCGCUACAAAAAGGACAGGGAUCUCCUGGAAAGAGUCCAGCAGGAGGGCCACAAAGACUGAUACGGGGCCUGGAGCAUCUCCCCUAUGAGGAGAGGCUGAGAGACCUGGGGCUGGUCAGCCUGGAGAAGAGAAGACUGAGAGGGGAUCUCAGCAAGGUGUAUAAAUCCCAUAAGUGUGGGAGACGGAGGGGUUUGGCCAACCUCUUUUCAGUGGUUUGUGGGGACAGGACAAGGAGUAAUGGCCACAAGAUAGAGCACAGGAAGUUCUGCACCGACACGCGGAAGAACUUCUUCACGGUGAGGGUGACGGAGCACUGGGACAGGCUGCCCAGGGAGGCUGUGGGGUCUCCUUCUCUGGAGAUAUCCAAGGCCUGUCUGGAUGCCUACAGACCCUCGCAUUACCUUCAGCUUCUUCUCCUUCUCGUGCACGACGGCGCGGACGAUGUUGAGCGAGGUGUAGGUGAAGCUGAGCAUGAGUAGCAGGGGCAGCUGGUUCUGGAUGGCGAGGACAAAGAGGUCGUUGACGUAGGGCGGGUAGGGGAAGCGCUGCACCACCACCGUGAUGUUCUCCAGCAGGCUGGCGGCGCUGGCGUUGGCAUGGUACUGCAUGAUGGCCCUGUCCACCGCAUGCUGCACCGCCAGGAAACCUUCUCGGAUAUAACCUGCACUGGCAACAACACCAUAAAGCAGGGAUGGGCGCGUGCUCUCCAGGAAGCAGAGAAGAGCACGGCGCCUUUGGAGGCGAAGCAGCCUUUACAGAAGGAGGGAUUUCUUGGGAAGAGCAGGAAACAUAAGGAGAGCUCAUAACAGAAGGAAAAGUUACUAUGAAAGCACUCUCUGCCAUUCCAGCAGAUGCUGGGAAAGAUUUAAAUCAGAGGAAUUUAAAUCUUUAGCAAUCAUCGUUUAAAAGAGCUAGCAGAGAUCCUCGAAAUAAACUGCAAUCCUCUAAGAUUCUCGGUCAUCGUUAACCAUCAACAACGCCACUGAGCAGAGCUUAUUUGUGGUGUUUGUUUUUUUUUUUUUGGUAAAGCAAGAACAUGGGAAACUACGGUAUGUUUUGGUGAGGAAGAACAUAUCCCAUUACGGACACAUUUGGUUUAAAAAUUUUGUGCGGUAGAAAAUAGUGAAAGGUUUACUUUUGUUUUUUAACCGUUCUAUUGUUACUUGGGAUUUCUGCCAUGUUACUGAAAUUGAGACUCAGAUUCUGUUCAGAACACCCCAAGAGAGCAUUUUGGAAGUUGGCUGCUUAAAACAUGCUAGACAGGUAAGGAAAAGGUGAGAAUGUGAGAUUACUCGGUGUUAUAUAUUAACUAAGUUGCUAAACAAACACUGUAGUGAGAGAACUGAUCCCAGCUUCUGGUCACCCCGUCCUGCAGGAUAUUUGAACUAGCAGGUAUUGUUCUCUUGUGUUUGGUUUUAUUUACACUCUGUGAGCAAGAACAGGCUGCCUGCCUUCUCAGGCCUUCAGUCUUUUGCUUGAUGUUGCCGUGAAAUCAGGAGGAAGAAGACACCAGGCUGGGGGAAAUAUCCCCUUCACAGCCAGAAAGGAAGCUCCCGAAAUCAAGAGCUGGGCUGGUCUGAAACUGGUGCCAGUUCCAGCAACGUGGCCGCUGACCUCCUGCUCAGGCUGUGGUCUGGCUUUCAUUAAAAACCCGCGCUCAAACCACAGAAUUGCUCUAUUUUAAGCAUUUAAAUAGCACUGAUAAAUCCUAGAUAGUUUGGACCCUGAAAUAUAUUUUCCUGUAACCCAUUUAAAAAUAGAAAAGAAGAAGAUCCACACGCCCAUCUCCUCGCCUGGCAGAGCAGUGUAGACCUCACCUGGCGUUCCCCCAUCCGCAAACUUGGCCUCCCGGGGGCCGGGCAGCUGGAAGAGUGGGAAGAGGUAGCUGGUGUGCCAGUCACGGUCCAGGUUGGGGUUCAGGCCCGUCUGCUCGCUCCGUGGGGCGUUCCUGGGGCUGUACUUGAAGCGCAGCUCAUAGUCCACCUGCGGGGAGGACGACCACGUCACGCACCAACCACAAAGGGGUAAUUUUGGGACCCAUCCCAGGGAGCAGCAAGGUGCCGGGGGCUGCAUCCAGCCCCGCUGUCCCUGGGGUCCCGCAGCACUCACCUGGAGGGGCAGCGGGGCCGUGCUGUGGUUGAAGCGGUGCUUGAAGACGACAGCAGCCAGCACGCUGCCCGAGCGGUUGUCCACCCUGACGUACUCCUCGAACUCCCUCUCCGAGGCGAAGCCCUGAGCUGCAGGGAGGAAAGCCGGGCCUGUGAGCUGCCGGUACUCGCAGAGCAGAAAUUAGAUAUCCUUGCACAGAAAAACCUAACGUUAUUUUCAGUUUCACACACGAAGUGCUAAGAUUUUC
rnacentral:lncRNA from 1 species